GCCCGCUUGGUGUAGUGGUUUGAGUAUAGGACUAUGACUCAAGAGACCAAGGUUCAAAUCCCUGCUUGGACA